rnacentral:rRNA from 1 species
GGUUAAGCGACUAAGCGUACACGGUGGAUGCCCUGGCAGUCAGAGGCGAUGAAGGACGUGCUAAUCUGCGAAAAGCGUCGGUAAGGUGAUAUGAACCGUUACAGCCGGCGAUGUCCGAAUGGGGAAACCCAGUGCAAUUCGUUGCACUAUCGUUAACUGAAUACAUAGGUUAACGAGGCGAACCGGGGGAACUGAAACAUCUAAGUACCCCGAGGAAAAGAAAUCAACCGAGAUUCCCCCAGUAGCGGCGAGCGAACGGGGAGCAGCCCAGAGUCUGAAUCAGCUUGUGUGUUAGUGGAACGGUCUGGAAAGUCCGACGGUACAGGGUGAUAGUCCCGUACACCAAAAUGCACAGGUUGUGAACUCGAAGAGUAGGGCGGGACACGUGGUAUCCUGUCUGAAUAUGGGGGGACCAUCCUCCAAGGCUAAAUACUCCUGACUGACCGAUAGUGAACCAGUACCGUGAGGGAAAGGCGAAAAGAACCCCGGCGAGGGGAGUGAAAAAGAACCUGAAACCGUGUACGUACAAGCAGUGGGAGCACCUUCGGGUGUGACUGCGUACCUUUUGUAUAAUGGGUCAGCGACUUAUAUUCUGUAGCAAGGUUAACCGUAUAGGGGAGCCGCAGGGAAACCGAGUCUUAACUGGGCGUUAAGUUGCAGGGUAUAGACCCGAAACCCGGUGAUCUAGCCAUGGGCAGGUUGAAGGUUGGGUAACACUAACUGGAGGACCGAACCGACUAAUGUUGAAAAAUUAGCGGAUGACUUGUGGCUGGGGGUGAAAGGCCAAUCAAACCGGGAGAUAGCUGGUUCUCCCCGAAAGCUAUUUAGGUAGCGCCUCGUGAAUUCAUCUUCGGGGGUAGAGCACUGUUUCGGCUAGGGGGUCAUCCCGACUUACCAACCCGAUGCAAACUACGAAUACCGAAGAAUGUUAUCACGGGAGACACACGGCGGGUGCUAACGUCCGUCGUGAAGAGGGAAACAACCCAGACCGCCAGCUAAGGUCCCAAAGUCAUGGUUAAGUGGGAAACGAUGUGGGAAGGCACAGACAGCCAGGAUGUUGGCUUAGAAGCAGCCAUCAUUUAAAGAAAGCGUAAUAGCUCACUGGUCGAGUCGGCCUGCGCGGAAGAUGUAACGGGGCUAAACCAUGCACCGAAGCUGCGGCAGCGACACUAUGUGUUGUUGGGUAGGGGAGCGUUCUGUAAGCCUGCGAAGGUGUGCUGUGAGGCAUGCUGGAGGUAUCAGAAGUGCGAAUGCUGACAUAAGUAACGAUAAAGCGGGUGAAAAGCCCGCUCGCCGGAAGACCAAGGGUUCCUGUCCAACGUUAAUCGGGGCAGGGUGAGUCGACCCCUAAGGCGAGGCCGAAAGGCGUAGUCGAUGGGAAACAGGUUAAUAUUCCUGUACUUGGUGUUACUGCGAAGGGGGGACGGAGAAGGCUAUGUUAGCCGGGCGACGGUUGUCCCGGUUUAAGCAUGUAGGCUGAUUGUCCAGGCAAAUCCGGAUAAUCAAGGCUGAGGUGUGAUGACGAGGCACUACGGUGCUGAAGUAACAAAUGCCCUGCUUCCAGGAAAAGCCUCUAAGCAUCAGGUAACAUCAAAUCGUACCCCAAACCGACACAGGUGGUCAGGUAGAGAAUACCAAGGCGCUUGAGAGAACUCGGGUGAAGGAACUAGGCAAAAUGGUGCCGUAACUUCGGGAGAAGGCACGCUGGUGUGUAGGUGAAGUCCCUGCGGAUGGAGCUGAGACCAGUCGAAGAUACCAGCUGGCUGCAACUGUUUAUUAAAAACACAGCACUGUGCAAACACGAAAGUGGACGUAUACGGUGUGACGCCUGCCCGGUGCCGGAAGGUUAAUUGAUGGGGUUAUCCGUAAGGAGAAGCUCUUGAUCGAAGCCCCGGUAAACGGCGGCCGUAACUAUAACGGUCCUAAGGUAGCGAAAUUCCUUGUCGGGUAAGUUCCGACCUGCACGAAUGGCGUAAUGAUGGCCAGGCUGUCUCCACCCGAGACUCAGUGAAAUUGAACUCGCUGUGAAGAUGCAGUGUACCCGCGGCAAGACGGAAAGACCCCGUGAACCUUUACUAUAGCUUGACACUGAACAUUGAGCCUUGAUGUGUAGGAUAGGUGGGAGGCUUUGAAGCGUGGACGCCAGUCUGCGUGGAGCCAACCUUGAAAUACCACCCUUUAAUGUUUGAUGUUCUAACGUUGGCCCCUGACCGGGGUUGCGGACAGUGUCUGGUGGGUAGUUUGACUGGGGCGGUCUCCUCCCAAAGCGUAACGGAGGAGCACGAAGGUUAGCUAAUCCUGGUCGGACAUCAGGAGGUUAGUGCAAUGGCAUAAGCUAGCUUGACUGCGAGCGUGACGGCGCGAGCAGGUGCGAAAGCAGGUCAUAGUGAUCCGGUGGUUCUGAAUGGAAGGGCCAUCGCUCAACGGAUAAAAGGUACUCCGGGGAUAACAGGCUGAUACCGCCCAAGAGUUCAUAUCGACGGCGGUGUUUGGCACCUCGAUGUCGGCUCAUCACAUCCUGGGGCUGAAGUAGGUCCCAAGGGUAUGGCUGUUCGCCAUUUAAAGUGGUACGCGAGCUGGGUUUAGAACGUCGUGAGACAGUUCGGUCCCUAUCUGCCGUGGGCGCUGGAGAAUUGAGGGGGGCUGCUCCUAGUACGAGAGGACCGGAGUGGACGCAUCACUGGUGUUCGGGUUGUCAUGCCAAUGGCACUGCCCGGUAGCUAAAUGCGGAAGAGAUAAGUGCUGAAAGCAUCUAAGCACGAAACUUGCCCCGAGAUGAGUUCUCCCUGAGACUUUAAGUCUCCUGAAGGAACGUUAAAGACGAUGACGUUGAUAGGCCGGGUGUGUAAGCGCAGCGAUGCGUUGAGCUAACCGGUACUAAUGAACCGUGAGGCUUAACCUU